AAUAUUAUGUGAUGCUUGAUGACAAUCGAACGAAUGUAACGUGUUCUACAUGGUGCAACUGUAACAGACCAGUGGGAAGUCUAUUAUUGUCUGUAAUGAAAUAGACUAGUGGAAAGUCUGGGUUAUUUUUACUGGCUGCAAUGCAUUUCAUUAUGUGCAUUAUAUGGUCGCACGUGCAUUGCGAGGGCAGUGAUCUCCAGCCAAUGGGAGACGGCUGCACUGCAGUGAGAGACAACUAAAAGUGGUUAGCGACGAGUGUUCGGGGUCUUCCGCUGGGAACGUGAUUGGGUCGGUAGGUAAAACAGUAUGAGUAAACGUUAGGUUAAUUGGGGCUGCGUGUGGUCGUAUUUUACUGUAGUUGUUAUUUAAUAUGUUCAACAGUGAACACUGCGAUUAUAUGUUAUGUUUUGUGUUUUGAUAAUUAUGUAUUUAAUAUUAUUAUUUCAAUUGGUGUUUGUGUUUUAUUACAUGUAGUAAUUACGGCAUGGGAUGAAUUUCGAAUCUGCGUGGAUGGGCGCGCGUGAGGGAGCCUCCAUCUCCUGUCAACAUUCACUUGUUGAGGAUUGAGGGGAGAUUGACGCUCACUCGUGGCUGUUCCGUCCUCGUUGAUGUCUUAUUAUUGUUCUAGAUUUAGGACGGUUACACAACAUUGGGUCACGACACAGAAAAUUUCCAAAAUGGCCGAUCAAGGCAUAUCUUUCGGGGUCAAUUUAAAUACACAUAGAUCACGUUGACAUCAUAAAUAAUACAUUUAAAUGCAAAAUAAAUAUUUUAAGAUGCCAAAUUGAUGCAUUUAUUACAGAAUUUUUUUUGUUAUUUCACCGAUGGGUACAGAUUUUUACAACGAUAGUAAUGCUUUUUUGGAGCGAUUUAGGUCACAUGACCAGUUUCACGUACUCUAAUAGGUCAGUAGUCUUUGUUUACAAAUAAUUUAGUUUUAAUUUGUUUAAUAAAGAUUUAUAAUAUUUUCUUCCUUCAUUUGUUUUACUGACAUUCCUUUCUUUACUCACAUUCCUUUCUUCUAUUUAUGUUAGUUUAUUUUAAUUGAUUAAUGACAUGUAUUACAAAGAUAAUUAUUAACAUUUUCACUUACCUUCUCGAGAUUCGAACUCCAGGUGACAGCUUGAGAGUCGUCAGCGUUAUCGAUUGAGCUAUUGAGGAAGUUACUUGAGACGGUCCAAUUUUUUAUGUCUUUCGUAUAACAUGAUUUUACGGAAAUACCCGAACGUUACCGAAAAUAUACGAUCAUAAUAAACAUGUAGAAUGUAUUAUCUGCACGACCAUUCACAUUUAUAAUUGAGGUGUCAAUUGAAUAAAAGGAAAUACAUUAGUGCGUGCACUUGCAUGCGUUUCAUGAAAAAGGCAUUACAUGUAUUUUCUGUGGAAGUAUAAGGUAAUAUAAAGGGUAAGUACUUGUUAUUGGCACAUGAUUUCUUUCAAAUGGCACAUAAGCGUAGUUCUGAUAGUCCUGAUACCGAAAUUGGGAAGAAAAAAAACGUAAAAUUCGGCCUUUUAAUUUUCAUAGUCUGUUUUCAAAGUUAGAUACACCUCAAAAGUCCAUAUCUUUUUGUCAAGAGUUUAAAUUAUUACCAAAAUUUGUUAAAUGUCCUACUUGUGAAGAUGAAUUAACGAAAUUAUUUGAAGUAAAAAGAAAAAAAAGUAAAAGGAUUGAUUUCAGAUUCCAAUGUAAUAAAACUUUGUGCCGAAAAAGUAAACAUCAAGUACAACUAAGAACUGGAAGCUGGUUCGCUGGGGCAAAACUUUCUUAUCGGAAAAGUAUACUAUUAGUGUAUUGUUUUAUAAAACAAAUGAGCUACGACGACGCAAUUAAUGAAACUUCUAUCUCUUCAACAGACGACAGUGACGAGGAUAAAGUACUGACUACAUCGAGAGAAACUGAGUGAUUACUACAGUUACUGCCGAGAAGUGUGUUCCUUUAUUGUUGAACAACAGACAACUCGGCAAAUUGGUGGCAAAGGCAAAGUCGUCGAAAUCGAUGAAGCCAAAUUUGGCAAAAGGAAAUACCACAGAGAUCCAACUACUGGUGCUUGCACCAAUCUGAUAGAGAACACCUGGUGGUGUAUAAAACGCCAAUUGCCACGAACACACACACGACGAACAUCAUUCGACCUUCAUUUGACAGAGUAUAUGUAUCGGUCUUUAAGAAAAGAAGGAGAACACAUGUUCCAACGUUUUCUGGCUGACCUAGCCCAACUCUAUCCUUGUUAAGAAAAAUCGUCAGCACAUUCUGGUCAUCAUAUUAUGGAAAUAUUUGUGACUGAAUCCCAUCUGAAUGUUGGAUGACAUAUAUCAAGAUGACACUGAACAGGACAUAACUGAGGAAAAUGGAUGUGAGAGAAUCCA